CUUUGGCAGACCGGAGUAGAGCAAAAGCGAGGCCUCAGGCCUGAUGUAAUUGCUGCAGCUCUAGCAGCUGUGCUGAGCCAGAGAGGUGAGCCGGAAGGAGCUGAGUCCUUGGAAGUUUCCUGGAAUGCUGUACCACCUCUGAGCUUCCUACCUCUGGACAGCUUCCACAGAGAAAAGGUAAGCUCCUACCAAGUUUAAACCAUGCAUCUUAGCUUCUUCACUCACAAAAUAAAUAAUCUUGGGACACAUAACCUCUCUGACCUCAGUUUCCUCCUAUUUUCUAUGCUAUGAGAAAAAGACCUGAGGUGUCUUGAUUACUUUUCUCUCAUUGCUGAGACAAAAUACCCAACACCCAGAACUAAC
rnacentral:lncRNA from 1 species